AAAAACAACAUUAUUUCUCCCUUAUACGCAUGGAUUUACGUCUCGUCUUGCUUGAUCAUCAAGCUAAGCCUAAAUGCCACUGAUCAAUCUUGUCAAUUGUGUUCCCAUGAUUCCUUAUGCAAAAUCAUAGGUCAUAAGGAGUCCUCGUGCCCAAAGGAACAAGCAAUGAUGGAGAUCCUAAUAGUCCAAAUCCUAAAUCAAAAUAUUUGGACAUGCCUCAAUUCUUCGUUCCCUC
rnacentral:lncRNA from 1 species